CAGCAGCCGCGGUAAUUCCAGCUCCAUUAGCGUAUAUUAAAGUUGUUGCAGUUAAAAAGCUCGUAGUUGGAUUUCGGGGCGGGCCAGUCGGUCGGCCGCAAGGCCUGCUACUGACUGGUCUGUUCUUCUUCUCAAAGACCGCUCUAUGCCCUUCGCUGGGUGUGUGCCGGCAUUUGAGACGUUUACUUUGAAAAAAUUAGAGUGUUCAAGGCAGGCUGUCCUCAAGCUUGAAUACAUGAGCAUGGAAUAAUGGAAUAGGACUACGGUCCCCAUUUCGUUGGUUUCGCGGACCGAAGUAAUGAUUAAGAGGGACAGUUGGGGGCAUCCGUAUUUCGCAGUCAGAGGUGAAAUUCUUGGAUCCGCGAAAGACGAACAACUGCGAAAGCAUUUGCCAAGAGUGUUUUCAUUAAUCAAGAACGAAAGUUAGAGGAUCGAAGACGAUCAGAUACCGUCCUAGUUCUAACCGUAAACGAUGCCGACUAGGGAUCAGCGGGCGUUAUUGUUUACGACUCCGUUGGCACCUCACGGGAAACCAAAGUGUUUGGGUUCCGGGGGAAGUAUAGUCGCAAGGCCGAAACUUAAAGGAAUUGACGGAAGGGCACCACCAGGAGUGGAGCCUGCGGCUUAAUUUGACUCAACACGGG
rnacentral:rRNA from 1 species